GCCACAACCGGGGAACGUUUUGUUGUGGUUAUUGCUCCUAUUUGGGGUGUUGUUUGUGUUCUUUUGGCCGCCAUGGGCAGCAGGACCAAGAGAGAGAGAGAGAGAGAGAGAGAACACAAAUCCGCCCGGGCCCCUCUUAAGCCAGGAUUAGACACGUAAGAGGACCUCUUCCAAGAUUAAAGCCCUUCUGAAGAGCCACCUCUGCGCUCCUCUGCGCCUGACUUGCCCGGGACUCGGCAGGAAAAGGUGGAUGGUACUCCUGCAUUCAUACAUAUCUCUACAUCUUCUACAUGCCGACUCAAAAUGGAAUGACAAGGAGUUCAAUGAGGUAAGUAUAUAAGAAUCCUUGGUCCAUGGACUGGUGAUGGUCCUCAAGCCAUCCGCUAUCAGUCCUGGGGAGAAUUUCUAGGAAAGAAAGAAAAAAUCACAGUCAGUAGAUGCAAAUAUGGUACUUAUUCCUGGUGUAUUUUGGGGGGAAAGUUUGCCAGCUCUCCAUAUCAGAUAACUUGAGAAACAGUGUUGCAUAGGAUUUGAGUAUCGGUUUAAAUUUAAUCUUAGAUAUAAAAACAUAGCACAUCACGGAGAAAACAAAAUAACUGGGAUAUGUGCAUUCAUUUAGAUACACAGAUCAGUGCAUCACAUAUUUGCAACCUUGCAUGAUGGUUGUUUUUGUGUGCCUUCAAGUCAUUUUUGGCUUAUGGAGACCCUAAGGUGAACCUGUCAGAGGGUCUUCUUGUCAACAUUUUUCAGUGGAUGCUCUCAGCUUCAAAGGAUGCUGUUGCCAUCUUCUGAGGCUGAGAGAAUGUAAUUUUCCCAAGGUGGGUUUCCAUGGCAGAAUGAGGGUGAUCAUGUUCCUACUGGUGAAGUCUUAGGCCUUUCCCAACAGAGAGUUCCUAGCACUAGCCAUCUUUUCUUCCUUCAUGGACACAAAAAGAGAUGGAAGUAGGGGUUGGAAAACUCAGUGGAUGGUGUGGCCUGACAUCACAUGAGGAAAGCUGAAUCCAGAAUCACCUUUACAUUGAAUUUAGUAGGAAAAUCCCCAUUCAUUUCAAUGAAAUAGAUCUCCAGCCAAAGACUGUGCCAAACUCCCAAUGGUUAGGUGCUGUUUCAACAACAAUAAGCUCAUUCACUGUUGUAUGUAUGAAAUAAUAAUGCAUUUGUUACAAGAUGACUUCUUAUAUUUUCUCAAGUCAUAUGUAGCAAUUAGUAUGCUAAUAUUUUUGAUUUAGCACUAACAUAACUGAGUAGAGCAGAGAACCAUACAAAAGCAAUGAAAAAACAAAAACCUUGGAAAGUGUUUGUCAUAGACUUUCACCUUGAGGCUAUUUUGCAAUAUCUAGGCAUGUGUCAUACUGGAUAAUACUGUUCCUUGGGUAGAUAAGGACACUUGACUCUAACCUUUGCUUCACAGCAGCUGAGCUGUGCAGUUUAACAAGUUGGUUUUGGCUACAUUGUGAAAUUAACCUUCUACAUAAUUAGAACUAUAUCCAUACAUUUCAUUAACAAGUACACAUUUUAUUUCUCUCACAACCUGGCAAAGCCUGAGAAACAAGUAAGAGAAAGAACUUUUGGAAUGACUGAUCCAGUCAAUGCUAAGUUUAUUUUUAAGUCAUAUUGAUUCAAAAGGGAGAUAUAAAUCACAUGACUAAAUGAAAUUUUAAAAUGUCUAUCAUUUAAUCUAUCACAGUAAAUACAUUAUGCUAUUAAAGUACUCACCAAUUUGAUUCAUAACUGUCUAUGACAGGUUAUGCACUUUUGAUUUCCACUGAUUCUGUAGACGAGACAAAAACAUAGAUGAUGUAACUAACUGAAAUCAAUGGGAGUUAAAAUACUUUCCUUUCGACAUUUGGUUAUUACAUAUUUAGUAUUUCUAUUAACAUUGUAUUCGGAUACCAUAGCCAAACUGGCAACCAAAGUCUUGCAUAGCAGUUAUUUCCACAAUCUUCCAGAUUUUGGACUCUGGAAUAACUAGUUACAAGAGCAGAUAGUUUACUUCCUAAAUCUUUCUUGCAAAAUAUUUAUGCAAAAUAUCCAAAUAGUGUUGACCUAUUUAUUUACAUCCGUGCUAUCAUUUAUAUUAUUUGGAUGGUUGAUUACAGGCAGAUUAAAAGAAAUGGGGACACAAAUCUCUUUUAUUCACACACAGAGAUGUACAAAUACUUUUAUCUUUGCCAGAUUUAACAACUGUUUUUUCUUAUUUUGAGCAGGUUUUGGGAAGACAAUAAACUUCUCUAUAUCUAGAAGCAAGGCUGCUAUUAUUCAUGAUAUGGAAUACCACAUAGAUCUUUUAUUGUGUCUAAGCACUGAAUAAUAUGAAAGGGGUUCAACACAGGGAACUUUGUAAAUGGUAUAUACACAUGAAACUUAAAUAACUAUGCCAAAGUAAACUCCCAAGUAAUAUGUACACACGUUAGAGCUUUCUUUCUUUUCAUUCAGAACGAGUCAGGGAAGAUGUGGGCUUCUGAAUGUUGUUGGGCUAGAAUUACCAUCAUUGGGUCUGAGACUUCAGUUAUGUGUGGAUAUCUACAGGACCUUCAACCCUGUUUUUAAAUCCUAGGCUUCAAUAUUCAAAUGAAUGCACCCCAGUUCUAAAGAGACCAAACUGUUAUGCAGAACAGGAUCACCUGUUGCAAAAAACUGGUUUACAGUAUAUCCAGGCUUAAGGUCCUGUCACAUUACAUAAUAAUAGCACUGGUUUCCACUGUGAUUCCACCUGUUAGAACACCUUCCUACAGAAUCCUGGAGCAUGUAGUUCAGUGAGGCACAAGAGGAACACUAAAUAUCCCUAAAUCCAAAGAUUCCAUAGGAUGCUGCCAUGGCAAUCAAAGUGAAAUAAUAGCAUUGCAUAUAAUGUGUUAUGCAAGGGUUCCCAAACUAAGGCCCAUGGGCUUGAUGCAGCCCUCCAAGGCUAUUUAUGCAGCCUCCACCCUAACCUUUAGAAUCAUAGAAUCAUAGAAUAGUAGAGUUGGAAGAGACCUCAUGGGCCAUCCAGUCCAACCCCCUGCCAAGAAGCAGGAAAUCGCAUUCAAAGCACCCCUGACAGAUGACCAUCCAGCCUCUGCUUAAAAGCCUCCAAAGAAGGAGCCUCCUCCACAGUCUGGGGCAGAGAGUUCCACUGCUGAACAGCUCUCACAGUGAGGAAGUUCUUCCUGAUGUUCAGGUGGAAUCUCCUUUCCUGUAGUUUAAAGCCAUUGUUCCGUGUCCUAGUCUGCAGGGCGGCAGAAAACAAUCUUGCUCCCUCCUCCCCGUGACUUCCCCUCACAUAUUUAUACAUGGCUACCAUGUUUUCUCUCAGCCUUCUCUUCUGCAGGCUAAACAUGCCCAGCUCUUUAAGCUGCUCCUCAAAGGGCUUGUUCUCCAGACCCUGGGUCACCUUAAGUCUGAAACCACUUGAAGACACACAACAACAAUCCUAAUUAACUUGACUAUCGUAUCAUCCAAAAGAAGGCCCACACUUCAUAUUGAAAUACUGGCAAGUCUAUGUUGGUUAAAAUUGUUCAUAAUAUUAAGAACAAUAAGAUAUAUGCAGUGUGCACAGGAAUUCAUUCAAUUUUUUUUUCAAAGUAUAGGCCAGCCUCCCAACAGUCUGAGGGACUGUGAACCGGCCCUCUGCUUAAAAAGUUUGUGGUCCUCUGGUGUAAUGUGAAAAACCCUGUCCAUACUAGGACAAACUACUUAAAUUUGUGUUAUACUUAGAACAAACAUACUAAAAUGAAUGGGAUUUCAAUGAGGUUAACUUAUUUCAUUCGAUUCGUUGGAUCUACAUCUUGUACUGAACUAAAUCUUGGCAUUAUUUCUGGUUUUGCUAGUUGCUAACUAUAUUAAUAAAAACAAUAGAAUAAUACAAUGCUCUGGCUGAAAAGACCUGCAGUUCAAAGCAAUGAUGGGAGGAACUAUGCCCCACACCUUUUUUAUUGCACCCCAAGUACCCAUGAUCACCCCAUACCUUUAUGAUCAACAUUUUUAACUGUUUAGAAGCUAAUACUUCUGACAAUCCUGACAUCCUGCAUGGAAAACAGUAUAAAAUUUAGCUGAAACUCAGGUGUAGACUUUCUGUCACUCCUGGAGGUUGGACUGGAUGGCCCUUGAGGUCUCUUCCAACUCUAUUAUUCUAUGAUUCUGUGAUUCUAUGGGGCUGCUGUUUAGCAAAAGUUACGUCCCAAAUCCACAGUUACAACCUGCUAUGGAGACUAAAAUAAUUGUCCCAUCCUUGGUUUAAUAAAAUCUAACAGUGCAUCUAUACUUCAGAAUUACUGCAGUUUAAACCACCACGGUUCAAUGUUAUAGAAUCAUAGAAUCACAGAGUUGGAAGACACCACAUGGACCAUCUCGUCCAACCCCCUGAAAUGGAGGAAAAGGACAAUCAAAGCACCCCUGACAGAUGGACAUUCAGCCUCUGCUAUGGAAACAUGGAAGUUGUAGUUUGGUGAGGCAUCAGAACUGUUUGGCAGAAAAGGCUAAAGACCUUUUAAAAACUACAACUCCUUUGAUUCCACAGUAUUAAUCCAAUUAAGUCAAAGUGGUGUCAAACUGUACUAAUUCUAUAGUGUAGAUGCAUUCUAAUGCAGUAUUUAUACCUUCAGUAGAAUGAAGUAAUAGAAUCCAGAACCUAAGAAUUUUACCAAAUCAGGGUACAAUUAGGUAUUUUUUGUGUUGUUGCUUUCUGUAAACAAUUCCCUGUAGGGAAAGAUGAAAGGAAGUUAGAGCAUUAAGGGAAAUAAAGAGCUCUUUGUUAGAAAGGUUCUGACCCAGCCAAUUCCCUAUUGUACUGGUAGCAGGAACAAAUGUCUGCUAUCAUUUAAAAUUACCCUCUCUUCUUGCAGUCCAAAAUGAUGCCAUCUAUUUUGUCAUCCCUCGUUUUCUACCUUAUUCUGUGGCAUGUGUGAGUGGUAUGAGGCGAUUGACUAGACCAGUAGGAUUUUGAAUUGUACCAUUUUACAAUGCGAGUGCACAUGGCAUGUUUUUUAUUCUUCCCUCAUGUGAAAAGCAUCCUGUACAUAAUAAAGUAUCUUGACUACUGA